rnacentral:rRNA from 1 species
UACGUAGGGGGCAAGCGUUGUCCGGAUUUAUUGGGCGUAAAGAGCGUGUAGGCGGCCAGGUAGGUCUGCUGUGAAAACUCGAGGCUCAACCUCGAGAUGUCGGCGGAAACCCUCUGGCUAGAGUCCGGAGGAGGAGAGUGGAAUUCCCGGUGUAGCGGUGAAAUGCGCAGAUAUCGGGAAGAACACCCGUGGCGAAGGCGGCUCUCUGGGACGGUACUGACGCUGAGACGCGAAAGCGUGGGGAGCGAACAGG